rnacentral:rRNA from 1 species
GACGAACGCUGGCGGCGUGCUUAACACAUGCAAGUCGAACGGAAAGGCCCUGCUUUUGUGGGGUGCUCGAGUGGCGAACGGGUGAGUAACACGUGAGUAACCUGCCCUUGACUUUGGGAUAACUUCAGGAAACUGGGGCUAAUACCGGAUAGGAGCUCCUGCUGCAUGGUGGGGGUUGGAAAGUUUCGGCGGUUGGGGAUGGACUCGCGGCUUAUCAGCUUGUGGGUGGGGUAGUGGCUUACAAAGGCUUUGACGGGUAGCCGGCCUGAGAGGGUGACCGGCCACAUUGGGACUGAGAUACGGCCCAGACUCCUACGGGAGGCAGCAGUGGGGAAUAUUGCACAAUGGGCGGAAGCCUGAUGCAGCAACGCCGCGUGCGGGAUGACGGCCUUCGGGUUGUAAACCGCUUUCGCCUGUGACGAAGCGUGAGUGACGGUAAUGGGUAAAGAAGCACCGGCUAACUACGUG